rnacentral:rRNA from 1 species
CUCGUAGGUGGUUUGUCGCGUCGUCUGUGAAAUUCUGGGGCUUAACUCCGGGCGUGCAGGCGAUACGGGCAUAACUUGAGUGCUGUAGGGGAGACUGGAAUUCCUGGUGUAGCGGCGAAAUGCGCAGAUAUCAGGAGGAACACCGGUGGCGAAGGCGGGUCUCUGGGCAGUAACUGACGCUGAGGAGCGAAAGCGUGGGUAGCGAACA